UACGAAGGGGGCUAGCGUUGCUCGGAAUCACUGGGCGUAAAGGGUGCGUAGGCGGGUCUUUAAGUCAGGGGUGAAAUCCUGGAGCUCAACUCCAGAACUGCCUUUGAUACUGAAGAUCUUGAGUUCGGGAGAGGUGAGUGGAACUGCGAGUGUAGAGGUGAAAUUUCGUAGAUAUUCGCAAGAACACCAGUGGCGAAGGCGGCUCACUGGCCCGAUACUGACGCUGAGGCACGAAAGCGUGGG
rnacentral:rRNA from 1 species